GUGGGGAAUAUUGGACAAUGGGCGAAAGCCUGAUCCAGCCAUGCCGCGUGUGUGAAGAAGGUCUUCGGAUUGUAAAGCACUUUAAGUUGGGAGGAAGGGCAGUAAGUUAAUACCUUGCUGUUUUGACGUUACCGACAGAAUAAGCACCGGCUAACUUCGUGCCAGCAGCCGCGGUAAUACGAAGGGUGCAAGCGUUAAUCGGAAUUACUGGGCGUAAAGCGCGCGUAGGUGGUUUUGUAAGUUGGAGGUGAAAUCCCCGGGCUCAACCUGGGAACUGCCUCCAAAACUGCAUGACUAGAGUACGGUAGAGGGUAGUGGAAUUUCCUGUGUAGCGGUGAAAUGCGUAGAUAUAGGAAGGAACACCAGUGGCGAAGGCGACUACCUGGACUGAUACUGACACUGAGGUGCGAAAGCAUGGGGAGCAAACAGGAUUAGAAACCCGUGUCC
rnacentral:rRNA from 1 species